UACAGAGGUCUCAAGCGUUGUUCGGAUUCAUUGGGCGUAAAGGGUGCGUAGGUGGCGCCGUAAGUCGGGUGUGAAAUUUCGGAGCUUAACUCCGAAAACUGCAUUCGAUACUGCGGUGCUUGAGGACUGGAGAGGAGACUGGAAUUCAUGGUGUAGCAGUGAAAUGCGUAGAGAUCAUGAGGAAGACCAGUGGCGAAGGCGGGUCUCUGGACAGUUCCUGACACUGAGGCACGAAGGCCCAGGGGGAGCAAAACGGGG
rnacentral:rRNA from 1 species